rnacentral:misc_RNA from 1 species
GAUGAAGAACGCAGCGAAAUGCGAUAAGUAGUGUGAAUUGCAGAAUUCAGUGAAUCAUCGAAUCUUUGAACGCACAUUGCGCCCUUUGGUAUUCCAAAGGGCAUGCCUGUUCGAGCGUCAUUUGUACCCUCAAGCUUUGCUUGGUGUUGGGCGUCUUGUCUCUAGCUUUGCUGGAGACUCGCCUUAAAGUAAUUGGCAGCCGGCCUACUGGUUUCGGAGCGCAGCACAAGUCGCACUCUCUAUCAGCAAAGGUCUAGCAUCCAUUAAGCCUUUUUUUCAACUUUUGACCUCGGAUCAGGUAGGGAUACCCGCUGAACUUAAGCAUACAAUAAGCGGAGGA